rnacentral:rRNA from 1 species
UACGUAGGGUGCGAGCGUUAUUCGGAUUUACUGGGCGUAAAGCGUGUGUAGGUGGUUUGGUGCGUCUCCGAUUAAAGACCCGGGCUCAACCCGGGGAGUGUUGGAGAUACGGCCUAACUAGAGGUUUGCAGGGGCAGAUGGAAUUCCCGGUGUAGCAGUGACAUGCGUAGAUAUCGGGAAGAACACCGAUGGCGAAAGCAGUCUGCUGGGCUUAUCCUGACACUGAGACACGAAAGCGUGGGGAGCGAACGGG